GAUGAACGCUGGCGGCGUGCCUAAUACAUGCAAGUCGAGCGAAUGGAUUGAGAGCUUGCUCUUAUGAAGUUAGCGGCGGACGGGUGAGUAACACGUGGGUAACCUGCCCAUAAGACUGGGAUAACUCCGGGAAACCGGGGCUAAUACCGGCUAACAUUUUGAACCGCAUGGUUCGAAAUUGAAAGGCGGCUUCGGCUGUCACUGAUGGAUGGACCCGUGUCGCAUUAGCUAGUUGGUGAGGUAACGGCUCACAAAGGCAACGAUGCGUAGCCGACCUGAGAGGGGGAUCGGCCACACUGGGACUGGGACACGGCCCAGACUCCUACGGGAGGCAGCAGUAGGGAAUCUUCCGCAAUGGACGAAAGUCUGACGGAGCAACGCCGCGUGAGUGAUGAAGGCUUUCGGGUCGUAAAACUCUGUUGUUAGGGAAGAACAAGUGCUAGUUGAAUAAGCUGGCACCUUGACGGUACCUAACCAGAAAGCCACGGCUAACUACGUGCCAGCAGCCGCCGUAA
rnacentral:rRNA from 1 species